rfam:Camelus ferus unplaced genomic scaffold scaffold667, whole genome shotgun sequence.
GGAGAUAUAGCUCGAGCGGCAGAGCACAUGCUUAGCAUGCAUGAGGUCCUGGGUUCAAUUCCCAGUACCUCCU